rnacentral:rRNA from 1 species
AUUCCAGCUCUAAUAGCGUAUAUUAAUGUUGUUGCAGUUAAAAAGCUCGUAGUUGGAUUUUGGAGUUUGACAAGUGGUCUGCCUAAGGUGUGUACUGCUUGUCGGCUCUUCUUUUCUGGGGGCCACGCUGCUCUUUAUUGAGGGGUGCUGGGAAUCAGAUCUUUUACUUUGAAAAAAUUAGAGUGUUCAAAGCAGGCCCACGCAUUGAAUACAUUAGCAUGGAAUAAUGGAAUAGGACUUUGGUCUUAUUUUGUUGGUUUCUAAGGCCGAGGUAAUGAUUAAUAGGGAUAGUUGGGGGCGUUUAUAUUCCAUUGUCAGAGGUGAAAUUCUUGGAUUUAUGGAAGAUAAACUACUGCGAAAGCAUUCGCCAAGGAUGUUUUCAUUA